GAUGAACGCUAGCUACAGGCUUAACACAUGCAAGUCGAGGGGAAACGACAUCGAAAGCUUGCUUUUGAUGGGCGUCGACCGGCGCACGGGUGAGUAACGCGUAUCCAACCUGCCCACCACUUGGGGAUAACCUUGCGAAAGUAAGACUAAUACCCAAUGAUAUCUCUAGAAGACAUCUGAAAGAGAUUAAAGAUUUAUCGGUGAUGGAUGGGGAUGCGUCUGAUUAGCUUGUUGGCGGGGUGACGGCCCACCAAGGCAACGAUCAGUAGGGGUUCUGAGAGGAAGGUCCCCCACAUUGGAACUGAGACACGGUCCAAACUCCUACGGGAGGCAGCAGUGAGGAAUAUUGGUCAAUGGACGAGAGUCUGAACCAGCCAAGUAGCGUGCAGGAAGACGGCCCUAUGGGUUGUAAACUGCUUUUAUAAGGGAAUAAAGUGAGUCUCGUGAGACUUUUUGCAUGUACCUGAUGAAUAAGGACCGGCUAAUUCCGUG
rnacentral:rRNA from 1 species